rnacentral:rRNA from 1 species
AUGAGCCGCCCGUCGCCGGCGCCCGCGCUGGACGGCGGGGUCCUCCUCGAAGAGAUCCUCGAGGAGAUCCUCCUCCGCCUCGCUCCGCAGCCCUCCUCCCUCCCGCGCGCAUCCCUCGUGUGCACGCGCUGGCGCCGCAUCCUCGCCGACCCCGGCUUCCGCCGCCGCUUCCGCGAGCACCACGGCCGGAACAACCCACCGCCACUGCUCGGCUUCUUCGAAAAGGAAUUCCGCGUAGACAAGCCGCCCAUCUUCAACCCCACGGCGACGGGCGAGCGGGACCGCAUCCCACCCGCGCGCUUCUCCGCGCCAUGGAGCCUGGGCGAGGGCUGGGAGUUUCUCGGCUGCCGCCACGGCCUCGCCCUCCUCAUCUGCCGGGCGCGCCGCGAGGCCGUCGUGUGGGAUCCCCUCACGGGCCACCAGCGCCGCGUCGGGUUUCCACCGAGGUGGAAGUCCGUCCAGAACGCUGCGGUGAUGUGCGCCGCCGGCGGCGGCCAAGAUCGGCACGUAGAGACUGAACAUUCGACUUCGACUUGCAUUGCAAACCCCAGCGUCCUGCUUAGGAAUUCAUUUUGCUGGCUUCUGUCUGGAGGUGGAGGUGCCAUCCUGGAGUUUGAUUUUCAAAACCAGAGCCUUGCGGUUAUCCAGAAGCCGGCGGACGCCGACUACUACUGGUCCUUUUACGUGGUACAGACAGAGCAUAGUAACCUGGGCCUUGCUGUUUUGUCAGAGAGAGAUUUUGUAAGCAACAUCAUCCAAUUAUGGGAGAGGAAAUCUAACUGCGAUGGUGUAGUUGGAUGGGAGCUGCAGAAAACCAUUCAACUAGACGGGCUCUUUUCACCAGGACCGACCAUGGGGCAAAAUGCGGUGAUGAUGCAAGGGUACGAUGAGGACACCAAUGUGAUUUUCUUAUCUACCUUUUUCGGCAACUACAUGCUCCAGCUUGAGACCACACAGUUCACAAAUCUUCCUAAAACACGAAGAAAUUGCAUGUCUAGCAGGACCUUUUAUCCCUACAGAAAUUUCUACAUUACAGGUAGCAGAGUUGGUGGUCAAGAUGGUGGAGCUGAAAUGUCAAUUAAUUAG